AAAGUACUCCCUCCGUCACAAAAUUCUUGUCUUAGAUUUGUCUAGAUACGGAUGUAUCAAGUCACAUUUUAGUAUUAGAUACAUUCAUAUCUAGACAAAUCUAAGACAAAAAAUUUGGGACAGAGGGAGUAGUUG
rnacentral:pre_miRNA from 1 species